UUACGGCCAUAUCACGUUGAAACACCGCUUCCCGUACGAUCACCAAAGUUAAGCAAUUCGUAUUAAGACGAGUGACCACUUGGGAAUACCAGAUGUUGUAAG